rnacentral:rRNA from 1 species
UACGAAGGGUGCAAGCGUUAAUCGGAAUUACUGGGCGUAAAGCGUGCGCAGGCGGUUCGGAAAGAAAGAUGUGAAAUCCCAGAGCUUAACUUUGGAACUGCAUUUUUAACUCCCGGGCUAGAGUGUGUCAGAGGGGGGUAGAAUUCCACGUGUAGCAGUGAAAUGCGUAGAGAUGUGGAGGAAUACCGAUGGCGAAGGCAGCCCCCUGGGACAACACUGACGCUCAGGCACGAAAGCGUGGGGAGCAAACAGG